GAUGAACGCUGGCGGCGUGCUUAACACAUGCAAGUCGAACGGUGAAGGCGGAGCUUGCUCUGCUGGAUCAGUGGCGAACGGGUGAGUAACACGUGAGCAAUCUGCCCCUGACUCUGGGAUAAGCGCUGGAAACGGCGUCUAAUACUGGAUACGAGCUGCGAAGGCAUCUUCAGCAGCUGGAAAGAACUUCGGUCAGGGAUGAGCUCGCGGCCUAUCAGCUUGUUGGUGAGGUAACGGCUCACCAAGGCGUCGACGGGUAGCCGGCCUGAGAGGGUGACCGGCCACACUGGGACUGAGACACGGCCCAGACUCCUACGGGAGGCAGCAGUGGGGAAUAUUGCACAAUGGGCGAAAGCCUGAUGCAGCAACGCCGCGUGAGGGACGACGGCCUUCGGGUUGUAAACCUCUUUUAGCAGGGAAGAAGCGAGAGUGACGGUACCUGCAGAAAAAGCGCCGGCUAACUACGUG
rnacentral:rRNA from 1 species